rnacentral:rRNA from 1 species
AAUAGUUAUAUUCUUAAAAGUUAAAAAUUUUGGCGGUAUUUUAGUCUAUUCAGAGGAACUUGUCUUAUAAUUGAUAAUCCACGAUUAGAAUGACUUAUUUUAUUAAUUUGUAUAUCGUCGUAGUAGAAUAUUUUAUUAGAAUUAUCAUGUUCAAAAUGUUGAAUUAUAAUAUAAAUCAGAUCAAGGUGCAGUUUAUAAAUAAGAUUUGAUGAGUUACAAUAAUUAUAGUUAUAGAUUUAAUAAUUUAAAAUUUUAAUGAAAUUGGAUUUGAAUGUAAUAAUAUUUAUUWAAAUUAU